AGUGAACGCUGGCGGUAGGCCUAACACAUGCAAGUCGAACAGCAGCACAGGAGAGCUUGCUCUCUGGGUGGCGAGUGGCGGACGGGUGAGGAAUACAUCGGAAUCUACUUUUUCGUGGGGGAUAACGUAGGGAAACUUACGCUAAUACCGCAUACGACCUACGGGUGAAAGCAGGGGACCUUCGGGCCUUGCGCGAUUGAAUGAGCCGAUGUCGGAUUAGCUAGUUGGCGGGGUAAAGGCCCACCAAGGCGACGAUCCGUAGCUGGUCUGAGAGGAUGAUCAGCCACACUGGAACUGAGACACGGUCCAGACUCCUACGGGAGGCAGCAGUGGGGAAUAUUGGACAAUGGGCGCAGGCCUGAUCCAGCCAUACCGCGUGGGUGAAGAAGGCCUUCGGGUUGUAAAGCCCUUUUGUUGGGAAAGAAAUCCAGCUGGCUAAUACCCGGUUGGGAUGACGGUACCCAAAGAAUAAGCACCGGCUAACUUCGUGCCAGCCGCCGCAGUAA
rnacentral:rRNA from 1 species